rnacentral:rRNA from 1 species
AGUGAACGCUGGCGGUAGGCCUAACACAUGCCAGUCGAACGGCAGCACAGUAAGAGCUUGCUCUUACGGGUGGCGAGUGGCGGACGGGUGAGGAAUACAUCGGAAUCUACUUUUUCGUGGGGGAUAACGUAGGGAAACUUACGCUAAUACCGCAUACGACCUACGGGUGAAAGCAGGGGAUCUUCGGACCUUGCGCGAUUGAAUGAGCCGAUGUCGGAUUAGCUAGUUGGCGGGGUAAAGGCCCACCAAGGCGACGAUCCGUAGCUGGUCUGAGAGGAUGAUCAGCCACACUGGAACUGAGACACGGUCCAGACUCCUACGGGAGGCAGCAGUGGGGAAUAUUGGACAUUGGGCGCAAGCCUGAUCCAGCCAUACCGCGUGGGUGAAGAAGGCCUUCGGGUUGUAAAGCCCUUUUGUUGGGAAAGAAAAGCAGCAGGUUAAUACCCCGCUGUUCUGACGGUACCCAAAGAAUAAGCACCGGCUAACUUCGUG